AUGUGGCUUUGUGCAGUUUCUGAUGCGGUUUGGUCUGCAUUACUGUUUGUGUCCUGCUGCAGAGCCGCAGUACCCAUCACGCUACAAGGAAGAGACGCCUGCAACGUGAGCAACGGAGCUUCAAGCAGCAGAGGAGAGGACAGAGCGCUACAACACAGCCCUUCUGGACGUGCUGAGCCUUUCUCUGGUUUUGGGUGCAGUCAUACACUAUUUGACCAGAUAUAUAUAUCACCAGUUUAAGACUGACAACAGAAACAGGAUAAACUAUUUGAAGUUUUGUAAAGUCUGUUUAGUAUAAAAAUAGUAAGAAAUAGAAAUGGAAACAAAUUCUAAUAGCACAGAAGAGAAUGAGCUAUCAUUCAAAACCGUUCUUACUAACCCUUUCUAUUMAUGGCCCUCUUAUAAAAAGCAGCAUAUAAAUUUUUUGUGUGAUUUUUGUUUUUUUGAAGCAUAACAUUAAUAGAGAAAGAUCUGACUCGUGUGAGAAACAGUUGGAUGACUCCUGAGGACUAGCAUAACAGAAGUGAAAUUAAGUAUCAGGUAAGAUAGGGAAAAAAAAUUAUCAGAGGAGAUAUUAAUGUGAUAGAGGUAUGAAAAAUGCCAUCCAAAGGUAUGAGAGACUUCUAGCUAAGUGAUCAGUAUUAAUGCCAGAAUACAAGAUGCUUGUGUGAACUCUGGAGUUAUACACACAAACUSCAGUUACUGAAGUACAAAAAAGACCGAAUUGAAAGCAAAACAUGUAAAGUGAGCUGUUGAUAGGGAAAUGGAGAACUUCAUAUAAGAGCUAGGUAGGCAACAGGAAUAAGGAAUAACUUUACAUAUUCUUACCUCUUCCAUGAUAACAAUUUAGCCCUUAGGGAAAUGAUGGUAAAAAUAAGCAGAUGAUAGUUACUGGGGAAUUAAUAAGCUGUAAGUGUACACCAUGGCCACAGUCUGAGAGUACAGCUUUUUGGGUCUAGUAAAAGAAAGGGAAUGUUGUUUUAUGUAACUACAGGAAGAGAAAGGUAGGCAAAUAACAAAGGAGAAGAGCUUUUGCAGCUGAAUCAGUUCAUUACAAAAUGGGUAGAAAUAUCUGUUUUGAUUCUUGUAUCGUAAAACACUACUUAUGACAAGAGUUGGAAAUCCAAGUACUUUCCAGUUUUGCAUCCUUGUAAUAUCAAACGUUAAUUAUUUUGUAUGCUGACUUCGCUUUCUGGAACUCAAGUGUUUUGAUAUUUAAAUAAUGACACUGAUAGCAUUU
rnacentral:lncRNA from 1 species